GAACGCUGGCGGCAGGCUUAACACAUGCAAGUCGAACGGUAGCAGGAGAAAGCUUGCUUUCUUGCUGACGAGUGGCGGACGGGUGAGUAAUGCUUGGGAAUCUGGCUUAUGGAGGGGGAUAACGACGGGAAACUGUCGCUAAUACCGCGUAUUAUCGGAAGAUGAAAGUGCGGGACUGAGAGGCCGCAUGCCAUAGGAUGAGCCCAAGUGGGAUUAGGUAGUUGGUGGGGUAAAUGCCUACCAAGCCUGCGAUCUCUAGCUGGUCUGAGAGGAUGACCAGCCACACUGGAACUGAGACACGGUCCAGACUCCUACGGGAGGCAGCAGUGGGGAAUAUUGCGCAAUGGGGGGAACCCUGACGCAGCCAUGCCGCGUGAAUGAAGAAGGCCUUCGGGUUGUAAAGUUCUUUCGGUAUUGAGGAAGGUUGAUGUGUUAAUAGCACAUCAAAUUGACGUUAAAUACAGAAGAAGCACCGGCUAACUCCGUGCCAGCAGCCGCGGUAAUACGGAGGGUGCGAGCGUUAAUCGGAAUAACUGGGCGUAAAGGGCACGCAGGCGGUUAUUUAAGUGAGGUGUGAAAGCCCCGGGCUUAACCUGGGAAUUGCAUUUCAGACUGGGUAACUAGAGUACUUUAGGGAGGGGUAGAAUUCCACGUGUAGCGGUGAAAUGCGUAGAGAUGUGGAGGAAUACCGAAGGCGAAGGCAGCCCCUUGGGAAUGUACUGACGCUCAUGUGCGAAAGCGUGGGGAGCAAACAGGAUUAGAUACCCUGGUAGUCCACGCUGUAAACGCUGUCGAUUUGGGGGUUGGGGUUUAACUCUGGCGCCCGUAGCUAACGUGAUAAAUCGACCGCCUGGGGAGUACGGCCGCAAGGUUA
rnacentral:rRNA from 1 species